rnacentral:rRNA from 1 species
GACGAACGCUGGCGGCGUGCCUAAUACAUGCAAGUCGAACGCAUUUUCUUUCACCUUAUCUUGCUCCCCCGUAAGAAACUGAUUGGCGAACGGUUGAUUAACACGUGUGUAACUUGCCCUUCCUCGGGGGAUCACACUUUGAUACAGGUUCUAAUACCCCAUAAUUCCAUUUACCUCAUGGAAGUUAGAUGAAAGGCGCUUUUGCGUCACUGAUUCAUGUACCCGCGGUGCAUUUGCUAGGCGGUGGGGUUACGGCCUACCAAGGCUGCGAAGCAUAGCCGAACGGAGAGGGUGAUCAGCCACACUGGGAGUGAGACACGGCACAGAGGCCUACAGGAGGCAGCAGGAGGGAAACUGGAGCAAUGGACGCAAGACUGACCGAGCAACGCCGCGGGAGUGAAGAAGGUUGUCGGAUCGUAAAACUCUGUUGUUAGAGAAGAACAAGGAUGAGAGUGGAAAGUUAAGCCCUUGACGGUAACUAACCAGAAAGCCACGGCUAACUACGUG